CGCCCCGCCGUCCUUUCUCCCAGCGCCGCGCGCCUGGUGACUUGUGUGGUGGGGCCUCCCCGGCUGCCGUCCGCGCCGUCCUCCACUCCCCCACGCCUCGCUCUUGGCUUCGUCGCCAUCGGCCCCGCACUCACCUGCGCUGCUCCCGAGGCUGCAGGAUGCGAAGUGCGGACUGGAGCAGCCGGCCUCCCCGCCUGCUGGGCCGCGGGCCUUCGGGCACGGAGGCCGCCUGCGCAGGGAGAGGGGCUGAGGCCCGUGAGUCCGCGGCUCUGCGCUCCGGUUGACGGCGGUGCCAGAUGAAGAUUGCAGGAUGGUUCGAGUUGAUUCUGCUGGGUGAGCACUCUGGAGUCAUGCCAGUGAGGGCACCGCAGGACCUGGUUGCCUCCAUGUUUCCUGGCAGUGUCUGAUAAUGAUGUAGCUGAGAUACCGGCUUGUUGCUGCCCUGUUUUAGAAUAAGAUCUUUUACCAGUAAACUGUCUUCAUUUGUAAUUCAGGAUCUACAGAAUUGGGAGAGCUCUACAGCAAGAGGCAAGCUAAAAGACAAGUUUGUGAAGGAGAUGGACUGUUCUACUUAAGUAACGAAAAUCUCAGCUUCUCCACGCUCCAAGGCCUGCUGGUUCUUGAACUAGGCCUUUGCCCACCCCUCAUUGUGGGGCUGGUUCCUUAUCCAUCCUGCCCUGCAGAAUGAAUUGUCUUGUGUGCUACAUUCCCUUAAUAAAUUCUUGAUGUAA